rnacentral:rRNA from 1 species
UACGAAGGGACCUAGCGUAGUUCGGAAUUACUGGGCUUAAAGAGUUCGUAGGUGGUUGAAAAAGUUGGUGGUGAAAUCCCAGAGCUUAACUCUGGAACUGCCAUCAAAACUUUUCAGCUAGAGUGUGAUAGAGGAAAGCAGAAUUUCUAGUGUAGAGGUGAAAUUCGUAGAUAUUAGAAAGAAUACCAAUUGCGAAGGCAGCUUUCUGGAUCAUUACUGACACUGAGGAACGAAAGCAUGGGUAGCGAAGAGG